GACGAACGCUGGCGGCGUGCUUAACACAUGCAAGUCGAACGGAAAGGCCCUGCUUUUGUGGGGUGCUCGAGUGGCGAACGGGUGAGUAACACGUGAGUAACCUGCCCUUGACUUUGGGAUAACUUCAGGAAACUGGGGCUAAUACCGGAUAGGAGCUCCUGCUGCAUGGUGGGGGUUGGAAAGUUUCGGCGGUUGAGGAUGGACUCGCGGCUUAUCAGCUUGUUGGUGGGGUAGUGGCUUACCAAGGCUUUGACGGGUAGCCGGCCUGAGAGGGUGACCGGCCACAUUGGGAAUGAGAUACGGCCCAGACUCCUACGGGAGGCAGCAGUGGGGAAUAUUGCACAAUGGGCGGAAGCCUGAUGCAGCAACGCCGCGUGCGGGAUGACGGCCUUCGGGUUGUAAACCGCUUUCGCCUGUGACGAAGCGUGAGUGACGGUAAUGGGUAAAGAAGCACCGGCUAACUACGUG
rnacentral:rRNA from 1 species